GGGGGCGACCUGGCUUCGACGUGGGUUGCAAAACCGGAAGUGCAUGCCGAGAAGGAGAUCUCUCGUAAAUAAGACUCAAUUAAAUAUAAAUGCAAACGAUGAAAACUUUGCUGGUGGGGAAGCUAUCGCUGCCUAAUAAGCACUUUAGUUAAACCAUCACUGUGUACUGGCCAAUAAACCCAGUAUCCCGUUCGAAAAAAAAAAAACGAUAACUAUCUAUAUUCCGAUAAUAUAAAAACACAAGAAAGGUAUCAAGAUAACAUUUUUUAACCUGUUAUGCCUCAAUGCCAAAAUACAUCCAUCCGCUAACAUUAACAUCAACUUGUAUCCGAGCAUGUUGCCGUCAUUUACGCGUACCCACCUUGAUUACUUCCCACUUAUCCUUAUUCACACACCCACUCACAUGCCACACCACACACAUAU
rnacentral:tmRNA from 1 species